AGAGCGAACGCUGGCGGCAGGCCUAAUACAUGCAAGUCGAACGGCUCUUCGGAGCAGUGGCGGACGGGUGAGUAACGCGUGGGAAUGUGCCCUUUGGUACGGAACAACUGAGGGAAACUUCAGCUAAUACCGUAUGUGCCCUUCGGGGGAAAGAUUUAUUGCCAUUGGAGCAGCCCGCGUUGGAUUAGCUAGUUGGUGGGGUAAAGGCCCACAAGGCGACGAUCCAUAGCUGGUCUGAGAGGAUGAUCAGCCACACUGGGACUGAGACACGGCCCAGACCUCCUACGGGAGGCAGCAGUAGGGAAUCUUGCGUCAAGUGGGACGAAAGCCUGACGCAGCCAUCGCCGCGUAGAUGAUGGAAGUCGUAGUAUUAGUAAAUUCGUUACAACGGG
rnacentral:rRNA from 1 species